rnacentral:rRNA from 1 species
AUUGAACGCUGGCGGCAGGCCUAACACAUGCAAGUCGAACGGUAACAGGAAACAGCUUGCUGUUUCGCUGACGAGUGGCGGACGGGUGAGUAAUGUCUGGGAAACUGCCUGAUGGAGGGGGAUAACUACUGGAAACGGUAGCUAAUACCGCAUAACGUCGCAAGACCAAAGAGGGGGACCUUCGGGCCUCUUGCCAUCGGAUGUGCCCAGAUGGGAUUAGCUAGUAGGUGGGGUAACGGCUCACCUAGGCGACGAUCCCUAGCUGGUCUGAGAGGAUGACCAGCCACACUGGAACUGAGACACGGUCCAGACUCCGACGGGAGGCAGCAGUGGGGAAUAUUGCACAAUGGGCGCAAGCCUGAUGCAGCCAUGCCGCGUGUGUGAAGAAGGCCUUCGGGUUGUAAAGCGCUUUCAGCGGGGAGGAAGGCGGUGAGGUUAAUAACCUCAUCGAUUGACGUUACCCGCAGAAGAAGCACCGGCUAACUCCGUGCCAGCCGCCGCAGUAA